AUCAUCGACGAUCAUCGACGUUACGCUUUGGAUAAAGCGCGGAAGAGCAGCCGAAAACAUAUGUUGGCCAGAGGCUUCGCAGGGGUCUUCACUCGUCGAAGAUUCGAGUGGGCCACGAAGCUUGCGCCACGAUUGUUGGGACUAUCGAGAGCGAUGGGGAGAAAAGAGAGAGGAGGGAACGAGGGGUUGAAACGAACGGAUGAUAGAGCGGCAUGGGGGCGAGGGGUGGAAAAAAGUCUCGGGUAGAAUCGGAAAAACGCAACAGGGCGGAAGUACGUCGAACAGAUAGCAUUGUGCCAUGGUGGAAUGGAGAGA